rnacentral:rRNA from 1 species
GAGUUUCAUCAUGGCUCAGGGUGAACGCUGGCGGCAUGGAUAAGGCAUGCAAGUCGCAUGAGUUUAUACUCAUGGCAAACGGGGUAGUAACAGGUAGGAACGUACCCAGAAGUCGCGAAUAACUUCAAGAAAUUGAUGAUAAUACGCGAUAUCUCGCAAGAGGAAAGAUUUAUCGCUUCUGGAGCGGCCUGCUUAGUAUCAGCUUGUUGGUGGUGUAAUGGACUACCAAGGCUACGACGCUUAGGGGAGGUGAGAGCCUGACCCCCACCAUUGGAACUGAGACACUGUCCAAACUCCUACGGGAGGCUGCAGUCGAGAAUCUUCCGCAAUGGGCGAAAGCCUGACGGAGCGAUGCCGCGUGGUAGAUGAAGCACUUCGGUGCGUAAAUACCUUUUAUGAGGGAGGAAGUUUAUUGACGUUACCUCAUGAAUAAGGGGCUCCUAAUCACGUGCCAGCAGGAGCGGUAAUACGUGAGCCUCGAGCGUUACCCGGAUUUACUGGGCGUAAAGGGUGUGUAGGUGGUUGUAUUAGUCGUGGGUCAAAGACCGAAGCUCAACUUCGGAGUCGCUCACGAAACGGUACAACUAGAGGGUGUGAGAGGUACAGGGAACUCAUGGUGUAGGGGUGGAAUCCGUUGAUAUCAUGGGGAACAUCAAAAGCGAAGGCACUGUACUGGCGCACUCCUGACACUCAAACACGAAAGCGUGGGUAGCGAACGGGAUUAGAUACCCCGGUAGUCCACGCCCUAAACGAUCCUAAUUAGCUUUUGGAAGUAUCGACCCUUUCAGAGGCGAAGCUAACGCGUUAAAUUAGGCGCCUGGGUAGUACGAACGCAAGUUUAAAACUCAAAGGAAUAGACGGGG